rnacentral:lncRNA from 1 species
UUUUUUUAAGUGUUGUAUAUAUAGGAUGGACCUUUAGUACCGGUUGGAGCCACCAACCGGUACUAAAGAUCUGUUUUGGCCAGGCCAAGCGGCGGGAAGCGCACCCCCCUUUAGUACCGGGUGGUGGCUCCAACCGGUACUAAAGGGGGGGUCUUUAGUACCGGUUGGAGCCACGACCCGGUACUAAAGGUGUGCGCUGGCGCAAUGCGGUGCGGCAAGUUUAGUCCCACCUCGCUAGUCGAAGGGCUACCGCACUGGUUUAUAAGCCCCAGUGCGGCAGCUCUCUCAAGCUCCUCUCCUAAGCAGGCCUACUGGCCUACCAAUUCAUUGCUGCCAUGUGGGCCUACUGGGCCUUUGCGGGCCUGCAUCCUGACCCAACAAAAGGUUGAGUUUCUAGUCGUAUGCAGGCCGCUUUGGCCCAGUAGGCGGGCUUUUUUUAUUUUCUUUUUUUUGCUUUUUUAUUUGUUUUAUUUAUUUUUGAGUUGUUUUUUGCUGUAUUUAGAGUUUCUUUGUGAAUAUUUUAACUUUAGGUACAAAAAUUUACAAACUUUGAUCUGUUAGUGCCGAUAGUUUUCAAAUUUGAAUAGUUUAAAUUUUGAAUUAUUUGAAAUUUGUGUGAAUCACUAGUUUGUGAAUAACUUAACUUUGAAAAAAGAUUUUUCAGUGAUUCUUUUUUCUUAUGUUUAAUAUUAGUGUGUUUUAUCAUUAUAUUCAAUUUGGUAAUGCUUAGGUUAUUUAAAAAAUGAAAUGCCUUUGUAACAUUUCAGUUUUCGUCGGAAACCCUGAUACUUUGAAAAAGAUUGUCCAUUUUGUACACGAAGUGUAUCCAAUUUUUGCCGUAACCCUCUCUACUUUUUUGCACAUGCUAUUUGUAUGAAAUUAUGAUACCAUGCCAACUUUCAACCUUUUCUGAGCUCAUUUCAAAUGCUUUUCAAUUUCAGGGUCAUUUAGCUGGAAAAAAAUCAGUAAAUGCAUGAAAAAGAAUUUGUUUGCACAUAAAAUUUCUUCGCGUUUCAAAUGCCAAAACACAUAAUUAACUACCCUAACUAUUACAGACAUUCCCGAUCACAUGCCGAUCACAUCCCAGAUCUUUGGGUGUGAAACUUUUUCUUCUCGUGUGUCCCUUUGCGCUGUAGCCAGGGAAAAUCUUCAUCAUUUAACUGGAUGCUCGGGUCAAUAUUCACUGUGUAUGGAGCAACUUCAUCAAACUUUUCAUAAUCUUAUGACAUGUCUGUCUUAUCAUCCACUCCCACGAUGUUUCUUUUUCCUGAAAGAACUAUGUGGCGCUUUGGCUCGUCGUAUGAUCCAUUCGCUUCCUUAUCUUUUCUUUUUCUCGGCCUGGUAGACAUGUCUUUCACAUAAAAAACCUGCGCCACAUCAUUGGCUAGGACGAAUGGUUCAUCUGCAUACGCAAGAUUGUCGAGAUCCACUGUUGUCAUUCUGUACUGCGGGUCUUCCGUUACCCCGCCUCGUGUCAUAUUGACCCAUUUGCACCGAAACAAAGGGACCUUCAAAUCACCUGAUCCAUAGUUAAGUUCCCAUAUGUCCUCUAUGUAACCAUAAUAUGUUUCCUUUCCCGUGUUGGUUAUUGCAUCAAAGUGGACACGACUGUUUUGGUUGGUGCUCUUCUUAUCUUGGGGGAUCGUGUAAAAUGUAUUCCCAAAGUCAUUAUAUUCGAAGAUGGUAACUGGGACAGCGAGUACAGGUCAUUUUGAAUAUCACCAUCAUUCAAGGCACGUUUCUGCAACCAACCGGCGAAAGUCCUCGUUUGUUCGCGUGUAAUCCAGUCAUCAGACUUCUCCGGGUGUUUGGACUGUAGAAAAUUCUUGUGUUCCUCCAUAUACGGAGCCACCAAGGCGGAAUUCUGUAGAACUGUGUAGUGUGCUUCAGUGAGAGAAUGCCCGUCCAUACAUAUUAUUUGAUGCCCUCCUAGCGUGCCUUUUCCUUCCAGUCUGCCCUUAUGCCGUGAUUCAGGAACACCAAUCGGCUUAAGGUCAGGAAUAAAGUCAAUACAAAACUCAAUGACCUCCUCAUUUUCAUGGCCCUUCGAGAUGCUUCCUUCUGGCCUAGCACGGUUAUGAACAUAUUUCUUCAAGACUCCCAUGAACCUUUCAAAGGGGAACAUAUUGUGUAGAAAUACAGGACCCAAAACGUUAAUCACUUCGCAAAGGUGAACUAGGACGUGCGUCAUGAUGUUGAAGAAGGAUGGUGGGAACACCAACUCGAAACUGACAAGACAUUGCACCAAAUCAUUCUGUAACCUUGGUAUGAGUUCUGGAUCGAUUACCUUCUGAGAGAUUGCAUUGAGGAAUGCACAUAGCUUCACAAUGGCCAAUCGAACAUUUUCCAGUAGAAGCCCCCUCAAUGCAACCGGAAGGAGUUGCGUCAUAAUCACGUGGCAGUCAUGAGACUUUAGGUUCUGGAACUUUUUCUCUGCCAUAUUUAUUAUUCCCUUUAUAUUUGACGAGAAGCCAGACGGUACCUUCAUGCUGAGCAGGCAUUCGAAGAAGAUUUCCUUCUCUUAUUUGGUAAGAGCAUAGCUGGCCUGACCCUGAUGUAUGUCGUCUUUUUCGUGCAUACGUUGCUGGUCCUCCCGUGCCUCUGGUGUAUCUUUUGUCUUCCCAUACACGCCCAAAAAGCCAAGCAGGGUCACGCAAAGAUUCUUCGUCACGUGCAUCACGUCGAUUGCGGAGCGGACCUCUAGGUCUUUCCAAUAUGGCAGGUCCCAAAAUAUAGAUUUCUUCUUCCACAUGGGUGCGCGUCCGUCAGCGUCCUUCGGAACAGGUUGUCCGCCAGGACCCUUUCCAAAGAUUACCUUCAAAUCCUGGACCAUAUCAUGUACAUCAGCACCAGUACGGUGGCGAGGCUUCGUCCGGUGAUCCGCCUCACCUUUGAAAUGCUUGCCUUUCUUUCUUACGGGAUGCCUGCUCGGAAGAAAUCGACGAUGUCCCAGGUACACAUUCUUCUUACAACUAUUCAAAUAUAUACUGUCGGUAUCAUCCAAACAGUGGGUGCAUCCGCGGUAUCCCUUAUUUGUCUGUCCUGAAAGGUUACUGAGAGCAGGCCAAUCAUUGAUGGUCACGAACAGCAACGCCUUUAGGUCAAAUUCUUCCCCUAUGUGCUCAUCCCACGCACGUACACCUGUUCCAUUCCACAGUUGUAAGAGUUCUUCAACUAAUGGCCUUAGGUACACAUCAAUGUCGUUGCCGGGUUGCUUAGGGCCUUGGAUGAGCACUGGCAUCAUAAUGAACUUCCGCUUCAUGCACAACCAAGGAGGAAGGUUAUACAAACAUAGAGUCACAGGCCACGUGCUAUGGUUGCUGCUCUGCUCCCCAAAAGGAUUAAUUCCAUCUGCGCUUAGACCAAACCAUACGUUCCUUGGGUCACCUGCAAACUCCUCCCAGUACUUUCUCUCGAUUUUUCUCCACUGCGAACCGUCAGCGGGUGCUCUCAACUUUCAGUCUUUCUUACGGUCUUCUGCGUGCCACCGCAUCGCCUUCGCAUGCUCUUUGUUUUGGAACAAACGUUUCAACCGUGGUAUUAUAGGAGCAUACCACAUCACCUUGGCAGGAAUCUUCUUCCUGGGGCGCUCACCCUCGACAUCACCAGGGUCAUCGCGACUGAUCUUAUAACGCAAUGCACCGCAUACCGGGCAAGCAUUCAAAUCCUCGUACUCACCGCGGUAGAGGAUGCAGUCAUUAGGGCAUGCAUGUAUCUUUUGCACCUCUAACCCUAGAGGGCAGAUAGCCUUCUUUGCUUCAUACGUACUCUCGGGCAAUUCGUUGUCCUUUGGAAGCAUAUUCUUUAUCAUUACCAGCAACUUUCCAAAUCCCUUGUCAGAUACACCAUUCUUUGCCUUCCAUUGCAGCAAUUCAAGUGUGGUGCCCAACUUUUUUUUGUCAGCUUCACAAUUCGGGUACAACAAUUUCUUGUGAUCCUCUAACAUGCGCUGCAACUUCGUCCUCUCCAGAUCACUUGCGCAGUUUCUCUUUGCAUCGGCAAUGGCCCGACCUAGAUUAUCAGCAGGCUCAUCUGAUGCCUCUUCUUCAGCUUCUUUCUGCAUUGCCGGCUCAGCUUCUUCCCCCAUUGUUGUAUCAUCGUAUUCAGGGAACCCAUGGCCAGGAUAGCCGUCGUCGUCCUCUUCUUCUUCAUUGUCUUCCAUCAUAACCCCUAUUUCUCCGUGCUUGGUCCAAACAUUAUAGUGGGGCAUGAAACCGGACUCAAAUAGGUGGACGUGAAUGGUUCUUGACAUAGAGUAACUGUGACCAUUCUUACAGCCAGCACAUGGACAAGGCAUAAAACCAUCCGCCCGCUUGUUUGCCUCAGCGGCAAGCAGAAAAGUAUGCACACCAUUAAUGAACUCGGGAGAGCAUCUGUCAUCAUACAUCCAUUGUCGGCUCAUCUUCAUUACACAACACCGAAUAGACCAAAUUAAUACAAGUUCAUACAUAAAGUUCAUAUACAACACUUAAUUAAAUGCAACAUACAAAUAACUCUCUAGCUAAAGAAUUUAAAUGCAACAACAAAUGCGAUGAAGAUCGCAAUUAAGGUAACAAUUGAUCCAACAACAUAAUGAUACCAAGCUACACUAUCAAUGGCAUAUUUUCUAAUCUUUCUAAUCUUCAACCUCAUUUUCUCCAUCUUGAUCUUGUGAUCAUCGACGACAUCGGCAACAUGCAACUCCAAUUCCAUCUUCUCCCCCUCAAUUCUUUUCAAUUUUUCUUUCAAAUACUCGUUUUCUCUUUCAACUAAAUUUAGCCUCUCGACAAUAGGGUCUGUUGGAAUUUCCGGUUCACAUACCUCCUAGAUAAAAAUAUCUAUGUCAACUUGAUGGGCAUAAUUUGUCAUAAACACGAAAUGCAACAACUAGUUUUAAAAGAGAAUAUACCACAUCCGAAUCAUAACAAGGACGAGGGCCGACGGGGACGGAUAUCAAAACCAUGGCACUAUGUAUAACAAACAACGUACGGGUAAGAUAAUUAUACGAGUAACUAUAUAUCCAAAUCACAUAAACAUCAAUUUGGUAAUGUAAAACAUUCAUGAACAAGAGCCUCACCAGAAGGUGGUGCCGGCGACGGGACGGUGCGGGCGAUCGACGGUGGUUACGAUGGAGAUUUAGAAGGCACUAAGUAAACCACACCUACAUAUGCAAACUAAGUGUUAUUUUUGUGCUCAAAUUGCAUAUAAAUCAAAUACUAGCAAAUAUAAUUAUUCCUCCCAAAUUAAUCACUAUACAAAGCAUUGCAAGAGCUAAUCUAGCAAUGAGAGUUGAAAGGACAAAGUUGCUAACGUUUGUGAUCAUUUGAAUGGAUGGGGGCCUUCAAAUCUUGACAAAUUUUGGGCAAAAUUUGUGAGGAGCUCGAGGAGAGAGGGGGAAGAACAGAGGAAGUGAGGAGAAAGGGGAAGAACAGAGUGGCUCGAGGGGACGAAGGGUUUAUGUACGUCGACCUUUAGUACUGAUUCGUGGCACGAACCGGUACUAUAGGUUCGCCACGAACCGGUACUAAUGAGAACGGCCGGCUAGCCGUUGGAACCGGCACUAAUGGACACAUUAGUGCCGGCUCAAAACCCAACCGACACUAAUGUGUCUCAUAUUAGGUCCUUUUUCUACUAGUGGAUUGAUUGAAUCCUUAACAUCGUGGUUCAUCCGAUGAGAUCAUCGUAGAACAUGUGGGAGACAAUAUGGGUAUCCAGAUCCCGUUGUUGGUUAUUGACCAGAGAGAUGUCUCGGUCAUGUCUGCAUGGUUCCCGAGCCCGUAGGGUCUACACACUUAAGGUUCGAUGACGCUAGGGUUAUAGGGAAGGUAUGUACGCGGUUACCGAAUGUUGUUCGGAGUCCCUGAUGAGAUCCCGGACGUCACGAGGAGUUCCGGAAUGGUCCGGAGAUGAAGAUUGAUAUAUUAGACGAAGGGUUUUGGAGUCCGAAAGUGUUCCGGAGGUACCGGGUGAUGACCAACAUGACCGAAAGGUAUUUCGGGAGCCCCGGCAAGUGUUGGGGGGGGGGGGCUUCAUGGGCCAAGGGAAGGGGGCAAACCAGCCCACUAAGGGGUUGUGCGCUCCCCUCACCUAUUCCCACGUGACCAGGGGGUUUGGGGUGCCCCAUCUAGGGUUCCCACCUCCUGGCUUGGGGGCCAAGUCACCCAAAGGGGAGAUCCCAUCUGCCCUGGCUGUCGCCCCCCUAGGGGAAACCCUAGGGCGCCUCCCCCUCCCCCUUGCGCCUAUAUAUAGUGGAGGUUUUGGGGCUGUCCAACACACAAGUCUCUCUCCCAAGGCGCAGCCCUACCUCUCUCCCUCCUCGUCUCUCGUAGUGUUUGGCGAAGCCCUACUGGAGUACCGCGCUCCUCCACCACCACCACGUCGUCGUGCUGCUGCUGGACGGAGUCUUCCCCAACCUCUCCCUCUCUCCUUGCUGGAUCAAGGCACGGGAGACGUCAUCGGGCUGCACGUGUGUUGAACGCGGAGGCGCCGUUGUUCGGCGCUUAGAUCGAAAUCGACCGCGAUCUGAAUCGCCACGAGUAUGACUACCUCAUCCGCGUUCUUGCAACGCUUCCACUUAGCGAUCUACAAGGGUAUGUAGAUGCACUCCCCCUCCCCUCGUUGCUAGAUUACUCCAUAAAUUAAUCUUGAUGAUCUGUAGAAAAUUUUAAAUUUCUGCUACGAUCCCCAACAUUAUCAUAUACACCAACUUUUUUAGAGCCAUGAAACGUAGAAACAAUUGUUCUGCAGUGUAUUUAAUUAAUAAUAAUGUAACCAACUUUUAACCAAGCAACUAGUUACAAGCCGUAUCACCAUUAUAUCUGUGUGAGCAGUCAAAUUUGAGCCUAAUUUUCAUAUAAAUUAGUGAAAUAUUGUUUACGAUAUUUGCAAGUGGAUCUUCAUCAUGAGAAAGAAAAAGGCGACGAGUUGCUGCUACGUGGAAUGUUGGUUUCGAUGUUCCGGAUAACCAAGAGUUUUCCAUCAAAUGACUUACAAUAUUUUGGAGUUUGUAUGGAUCAAUGCGAUGAGAUUCGAACCUUGAGCAGUAUGGACGUUGGAUGGAUCAGUUGCGUGUUAACGUCGCCACCAUCUUCACCCGAGCAAAACAAAGUUUUGAGAGUGAAUUCCACUUUUUACCCCAUAUUUAUACAUUUGUGACACUAAUUACCCCUUCGAGUGAAAAUUCGUCUAGAAUAUCCCUUUUGAAAUCUUUGGACCCUUGUUUUUUGAUGCGUGUCCAUCAGGUAAGGUGUGAGGUGACGCCCUGUAUCCAAAAACAUGUGGACGGCCAGAAGGAGUGGAACAGAUAGACAAGAGAAGCUUGGACAAGAUCGUCAAUGAUGCCCUCCGAUCCUUACAGUUUUUUUUACAAAUCAAUGACGCAACAUGCCGAUCCUAUCGACCAUAAACAGACAAAAUGUAAAACUAAGGUAAAACCGUGUUAAAAGUCUCCAAAAUCUGACGUUUCGAUAAAAGCUCCGCUAAAUAGGGUAAUAUGUGUCACAAAUGUACAACUACAAGAUAAAAAAUGGAAUUCACUCAAGUUUUGACAGCAGACCAGCACCAUGAUCUUUGUCUUGCAUCUGAUCUCAGAAAUCCGUCGUGCUCAUGGACGAGCGCGACCUUGGAUCUUCAAACACGUCGGCUCUGCCUGCGUUUUCUGGGCUGUGCUGUGCUGGUGUUUCUUCAGCGGUUUAGUUGCGUGUGAUUUACAGAAGCCACUGUCUAGUCUGAACCUGUGUUAUUUCUUUGUUUGUUUGUUCGAAUGUAGACUGAACCUGUCUGCCUGUUUGUUUGCAUCGUCCAAGCUUGAGCAUAAGGAUUUUAUUUCAUUUUUUUAUCCCUCCAGCUGUUCGUGGUCUCAAGCCGGCUGCAACUGGCCACCUCAGCUUAGGUGCCGAGGUUUCACGAUUGGGAUUGUUUUCUCAUUAUCUGCAAUGCUUUGUGCAACUCUGAUUAAUAAUAUACUUCCUCUGUUCGGAAAUAUUUGUUUUAAAAAUGGAUGUAUCUAGGCUUAUUUUAGUUAUACAUACAUCUAUUUUAUCCAUUUUUAGGACAAGUAUUUCGGGACGGAGGGAGUACAUAUUUGUCAGGAAUGCAGUUCAAUGUUAUCCUUGCAACCGUGCCCAACUUCUGCCAACGGGAUGCUUCUUAUCUUAUUAUUUUUCUUUUUGAGAAUUUUUUCCAUUCAAAUCACGUACCAGUACAAAGUAGUUGACCCUUACAAGCACAUUGAAACGCAAACACAAAUAACCAUGAACACCUAGAGUACCCUAAGCCAACCAUAACACAAGAAGAUCUUCGGAGUCCUGUGACAUCAUUCUUAAAUCUUGAGAGAAGACCCCUGCAGCAGAAGGAUCUGCAACCAGGCGCAAGCAGGUCAUCAUCUUCGACCACAGUACAAUUGCCACCACGCUGCUUCCUCCUUUCUUGAAACCAGCGCUGAGAGGGCAUGGACAUCAAUCCAACACACCUGCAACAGCCGUCGCCAUCUUUGGCUUUGAAUACCGUGAAAAAUGUCCCUUUUGAAAGGGAAGAGAACUCGAGUCAUCCGACCGGUCCAGCACCGCGGCCGGGCCAUCCGCCCGGGCAAAGCAGAAUCUCCCUCUAGCAUCAGCGCAGAGGAAGGAGAAGAACAGUAGCAGCAAAUUAUACCGACAAGGAAGAAGAAGGGUAUUUGUCUCCCUGCAUCCAACGCCCAUCUGAGGACCCAAACGACCAGUGCCAAUGAACCUCCAGUCACCAUAGCCCGCGACCUCGACGAGAUCCGUGGAUCCCCCACCCCGCUGGCUCCUAGACGAAGGCAAAAGCCUCGCCUGACCGCGAACGGAGCCCGGAGAAAUUUAUUCCGACGCGACACCACCACAACGGCCUCGGCAGCGUCACCCUCACAACCCUAACCCUACCAUACACCCACCUAGCGGACAGACCCGGGGUUCCCUCUACCUCCUGCCGCCUGAGCGGCCGACGGAGAGAGAGGGAACCGGCGGCCCCACCGGCGGCGCGCAAGGGAACUGGCCUCGUCGCCUCCUUUGAUCGCCCGCGUGAUCCUACUUUACCGGGUAAAAAAUAUUAUUUUUCUUAUCUUAGUUAUUAAACGGUAGUACUCCUACGUGUCUAGUAUAUAAGGAAAGGCCAAACGCAAAGAACUCGUCUAAGCCUUUCUGUUGGCUUAUUACUUUUACCACCAACGUUUUUCGUCACCUGGGAGUACCUCGUAGUUGCCAUCGGCUACUUUGUCUAACCUGCAAUGCAAAAUCAUAUGUCUUUACCCAUGCAGCAUAUUCUUCUUCCGAUUACAAAAAGAUGCCCGUGAAAAGGGACAUCGAGUAGAUGAGCUCGAGCUCACAGGCUCUCGGAUGAACAGUAAAAUUAAAAUUUGAAAAUUCUGAUUUUUUUUGCCAACAUGUGUGCGGAUUUCAGGAUGUGAUUUUCUUUUAAAACAUUGCUCGCUAGAUUUCGACACUCCCUCACAUCUCGUGGGUCGCUCUUGCGACUCACGAGGCGACUGCCGCCCGCGGCGGUAGUGGGGCGCUCUCUCCAUCUCCUUCUCCCCUCUCCUGCCCCUCAGGCGUUCUUCCUCUCCCCGACCGGUGCAGCACACCAAAUCCCGCCCCUACGUCCCUCCCCUGACCUAGAGGGCCGUGGCCUUACUUGGUGGCAGCACGGCCCUCGACAUGAGUGGGGGUGGCGCGGGCUGCUACCCUUGGAGCCUGGUGGCGCGGAUCCGCGCAUAUGGCGGGCGGGCUUAGGUGGUGUCCCAGGUGACGCCGGUUGUCGGAUCCCGCUAGCUUCGGCGUGCUACCCCCGAUCCGAUGGAGUUUGUGGGCAUGGCCCUCCUCUUGUUGGUGGCCCAUGUGUUUGCUUGUUCGGGACGCCCAACAGCUCAAAUAUAGGGUUUGCCUCCGUGCGGGUGAAAGGUGUCAGCUUUGGGUUAGGGGUGGCGGAGUUGCGCCAGCAUGGCGACCUGUUGCGUGCUUCUGGUCCACUGUCAUGUGUGUGGUGGGUGAGGGUGGAUCCCCUCGGUUACUAGAGCCACAGGUCCACACGAUGGGCACGACGACACCAUUCCAGCGGGUGUCGCUGUGAGGGGUGCUCUCGUGUUAACUUGGUCGUGUGGGCGGUGAGGUGGCUCAUUCUGGGGGUGUCCAUCAUGUGGGUGUGGUCUUUGCUGCCACCAGGCUAUUUCGGGCGUUGUGUGCAACUUUCCUUAGUCGACCAUGGUUGUUGGGGGUUGAGUCCCAAGCGAAAGAGCUGCACUGUUGGAAAUAUGCCCUAGAGGCAAUAAUAAAAGGAUUAUUAUUAUAUUUCCUUGUUCAUGAUAAUUGUAUUUUAUUCAUGCUAUAAUUGUAUUAUUCGGAAAUCGUAAUACACGUGAGAAUACAUAGACCACAAUAUGUCCCUAGUGAGCCUCUAGUUGACUAGCUCGUUGAUCAACAGAUAGUCAUGGUUUCCUGACUAUGGACAUUGGAUCUCAUUGAUAACGAGAUCACAUCAUUAGGAGAAUGAUGUGAUGGACAAGACCCAAUGCUAAGGAUAGCACAAGAUCGUGUAGUUCGUUUGCUAGAGCUUUUCCAAUGUCAAGUAUCUUUUCCUUAGACCAUGAGAUCGUGUAACUCCCGGAUACCGUAGGAGUGCUUUGGGUGUACCAAACGUCACAGUGUAACUAGGUGACUAUAAAGGUAUACUACGGGUAUCUCCGAAAGUGUCUGUUGGGUUGACACGGAUCGAGACUGGGAUUUGUCACUCCGUAUGACGGAGAGGUAUCUCUGGGCCCACUCGGUAAUGCAUCAUCAUAAUAAGCUCAAAGUGACCAAGUGUCUGGUCACGGGAUCAUGCAUUGCGGUACGAGUAAAGUGACUUGCCGGUAACGAGAUUGAAUGAGGUAUUGGGAUACCAACGAUCGAAUCUCGGGCAAGUAACAUACCGAUUGACAAAGAGAAAUUGUAUACAGGGUUGCUUGAAUCCUCGACAUCGUGGUUCAUCCGAUGAGAUCAUCGAGGAGCAUGUCGGAGCCAACAUGGGUAUCCAGAUCCCGCUGUUGGUUAUUGACCGGAGAGCCGUCUCGGUCAUGUCUACGUGUCUCCCGAACCCGUAGGGUCUACACACUUAAGGUUCAGUGACGCUAGGGUUGUAAAGAUAUUUGUAUGCAGCAAACCAAAAGUUGUUCGGAGUCCCGGAUGAGAUCCCAGACGUCACGAGGAGUUCCGGAAUGGUCUGGAGGUAAAGAAUUAUAUAUGGGAAGUCGAGUUUCGGCCAUUGAGAAAGUUUCGGGGGUCACCGGUAUUGUACCGGGACCACUGGAAGGGUCCCGGGGGUCCACCGGGUGGGGCCACCCAUCCCGAAGGGCCCCAUGGGCUGAAGUGGGAGGGGAACCAGCCAGUGGGAGGGGAACCAGCCCAUGGUGGGCUGGUGCGCCCCCCUUGGCCCCCCCCUGUGCCUAGGGUUGGGAACCCUAGGGGAGGGGGCGCCUCCACUUGCCUUGGAGGGGGGGGGGGGCAAGGCACCCCCCUUGGCCGCCGCCCCCUAGGAGAUCCAUCUCCUAGGGCUGGCGCCCCCCUGGGGACCCUAUAUAUAGAGGGGGGAGGAAGGGCAGCCUUACCUUUGCACUUGGCGCCUCCCUUCCCCCUUGCCACACCUCUCCCUCCCGCAGACGCUUGGCGAAGCCCUGGCGGGAUCCCUGCUGCAUCCACCACCACGCCGUCAUGCUACUGGAUCUUCAUCAACCUCUCCUUCGCCCUUGCUGGAUCAAGAAGGAGAAGACGUCACGCUGACCGUACGUGUGUUGAACGCGGAGGUGCCAUUCGUUCGCCGCUAGGAUCUCCGGUGAUUUGGAUCACGACGAGUACGACUCCCUCAACCCCGUUCUCUUGAACGCUUCCGCUCGAUCUACAAGGGUAUGUAGAUGCACUCCUCUCUCUCGUUGCUAGAUGAACUCAUAGAUUGAUCUUGGUGAAACCGUAGAUUUUUUUUAUUUUCUGCAACGUUCCCCAACAUGCACGACCGUGUCGGUGCCGGUGAUAGCGAUACUGUUGUGUGCCGUUUCCUUCCUAGAGGUGUCAUCGUUGGUGACCCAUUCACCAUGGGCCCUGUGUGAAAACCAUUGGUCUGGCUGGUUCUAGACUAGAUGGCGACAACAUUGUGGCGUCGUGUCCUCCUUGGAGGCUCCGUCUUGUGAGCAAGGUCCUAGGUUGCUUUUUGCUAGGGUGAGUUUCAUGAAUGAUUGCAUCUUCUCAUCAUGUGUCGGGUCCUGCCUCAGUGGUGGUGCGCUCAUGCGGAGCUAGGUUCGGCGAGGUAGUUGUGCUCGAAGACCCCUUUGUUGUCUUGGGCCUUGUCUCCAUCCGCGUUCUAGGGUGCUGAACACUCCAUCGCCCGAUGAUGCGGUGCCUCUCGAGCCGGGGCGAGGAGCCGGGGGUCCUUCUGGCGAUGGAAUGAGAUGGCGUUGGUCAGUUGGGCGCCCAUGCGAUGGCAUUGGCAUAACCCCCUCUGUCUGUUGAUCUCCUUCUGGAGCCGGCUUCAUUCGCAUCAUCGGUCCUUCGACAUGUCUGACGGCUCAAGUGUCUUGCUUUCUUACUUUUUGAGCUUUGUUGCUGCUCCUGGGCACCAUGUAUCUUGAAGGAGCUCUUUCUUUUUGCUUUGUACUUUUGUGUUGUGUUGUACUGUUUGUUGUAAAAGCGUCAUUAAUUUAAAAUCAGACACCAAUCCUCUUUCUAAAAAAGUUCCGGAUGUAAUCACAUUUUUGAAUUUGCAGGAUUGGAUGGAGUAUUAUGUUUGAGGUGAUUUGUACUUUUUUGUGGGAAAAAUCCAAUCUAUUCAUCUUCAAUCAUGGGAGUACAACAAACACUAGAAAUAAUAAUAAAAAAUACUUUUGAUAGUGAACUUUUAUACGUAAUAGAUUUGUAUCUUUAAAAAAAAUUAAUAGGUGGAAGCUCAAAAGAAUAUAUUAAUAUGAAGAAAGCCUCUCUUGUGUGGAUUUUAUUUUAGUGCCUCCGUUUCUAAAUAUAUAAGCCCUUUUACGGGUUUCACUAUGGAGACUACAUUCAGAUGUAUAUAGUCGUCUUUUAAGUAUAUUUUCAUCCGUUUUGCUCCAUAUGUACUGUGUACUCUAUAGUGGAACCUCUAAAAUGACUUAUAUUUAGAACGGAGGGAGUAUGUCUUCUUUUUCUCACAUGUUGUGUGGAUUUUGUUUGCACUAUGGUAUGGUGGCGGAGAAGAAGAUACCGUGGAGAGAUGCCUCCAAGGCCCGGGCGACAGAUUCCGUUACGGCAGCCUCCAAAACCCGGCGAGUCGCCGUCGUCGUCGUCGUCGCCGCCUCGUAUCCGUUAGCAACAACAACAGACGGAGCACCCAACCCCACGUCCCCCCCUCCUCUUCCCUCCACUCUCCGCCCUCCACGCACCUCACCUCAUCCCCUCUCCCUCCCUCUCUCCCCCCUGCCCCGCCACGGCGGCAGCGCCCGCCCAUGCCGCUGCCGCUGCACCCCUGCUGCGCCGCCGUCGUCGCGGCGACGCCCGCCAUGGCCACCACCGCCGGCAGCGGCGGCACCAUCUCGCCGUCCACUGCCGCCGCCCCGCCGCCCCGGUACCUCGGCUCCGGCCAGGGCCGGCUCCGCCUCGCGCCGGCAGCCAGCCGGCGUAACAGGCCGCUCCUCCGCUGCUCCGCGUCCGGCGGCGACGGGCCCGACAAGGUUCUUGAGAAGCGCCGGGCCGAGCUCGCCGCCCGCAUUUCCUCCGGCGAGUUCACCGCCCAGGGCCCCGGGUCAGUCAGUUCCCCCCGGCCAAUCCCUUAUCCCCCCCUCCGCGCAUUUCUUUCCCCUCGUGCAGCUCCGGUGCUGAUUGGAUCAGGCGCGGUGCUUGAAUUGCUCUGUCCAGAUGGCUCGCGCCCGUCGCGGCAAGGCUCGCCAAGCUCGGCCCGCCGGGGGAGCUCGCGGCCGGGCUGCUCACCAAGGUAGCGGGCGGCGCGGCGCGCAGGGGCCCGGGGCUGCCGCAGGCGGUCGGGUCGCUGGCUUCCGUCGCCGGGGAGGCCUUCUUCCUGCCGCUCUACGACCUCUUCCUCACCUACGGCGGCGUCUUCCGCCUCAACUUUGGGCCCAAGGUGAGCGAGUCAUCCAUCGAAUUGCCCCCAAAAUUGCUGCCUUUUGAACCAUGUCAUGUUGCUAAUGGUCUGUACAUUUCUUCUUCUUUUACCUCCAGUCUUUCCUCAUCGUCUCUGAUCCGGAUGUAGCUAAGCAUAUCCUGAGGGACAACUCCAAGGCUUAUUCCAAGGUUUGGUUCUGAAUUUGGUUCUAGUCAUUUCCAAACAGUAAAGAAAUGUUUCAAAAGGCUUCAGAAAUGAGCAGCAUGAUGUUUGAUUCAGUCCUGGUCUGAUCAUGGUGGGUGCAGGGUAUCCUUGCGGAGAUACUGGAGUUUGUGAUGGGCACAGGUCUGAUCCCAGCUGAUGGGGAGGUCUGGCGUGUUCGACGGCGUGCCAUUGUACCAGCAUUGCAUCAGAAGGUUCUAACUUUCUGAUUACCAUAUCAAUGUUUUGUGUUUAUUGUUUUCCUAUCAGUGUAACUAACUUUACUCACCUGAAUAAUGUGUUCGGCAGUACGUGACAGCGAUGAUAGGUCUCUUCGGAAACGCUUCAGGCCGGCUCUGCCAGAAGCUGGACAAGGCGGCUUCGGACGGGGAAGAUGUGGAGAUGGAAUCUCUCUUCUCUCGACUAACGCUGGAUGUCAUCGGGAAGGCAGUGUUCAAUUAUGAUUUUGAUUCAUUAUCCUACGAUAAUGGAAUAGUUGAGGUUAUUGCUCAGAUUUUGUCGUAUUCCUGAGUACAUUACGAAAUUUCAUUUGCUUAUGUUUUCUGUCAACUUUACUUAUUCGGUUUGCUGGUUCAUCAUCAGGCUGUGUAUGUAACAUUACGGGAAGCAGAAAUGCGGAGUACAUCUCCUAUCCCAACUUGGGAAAUACCCAUAUGGAAAGACAUCUCCCCUCGGCAAAGGAAGGUCAAUGAAGCUCUCGCACUGAUAAAUAAUAUUCUCGAUGAACUAAUUGCUACUUGCAAGGUAAGCCUUCUCUUAUACUUUGACAUUAGCAAAUAGUAAUUAUUGUGUUUAGAAAAAUCAUGACAUGGGACAAUUACUGCAGAGGAUGGUAGAUGAAGAAGAUCUGCAGUUUCAUGAGGAAUACAUGAAUGAGAAAGAUCCUAGUAUUCUUCACUUCCUAUUGGCAUCUGGAGAUGAUGUAUGGCACAUCUGCACUGACAAAGUCUUUUAGAUAUUUUUACCUGCUGAUAUUCACAUUGCACCAUUGUUCAAUCCAUCUAUCUUAGGUGUCCAGCAAGCAGCUCCGUGACGAUCUGAUGACAAUGCUCAUAGCUGGCCAUGAGACCUCUGCAGCAGUCUUGACUUGGACAUUUUAUCUUCUGUCUAAGGUGUGAUACUGCCAAUAACUGAAAACUCAAUGCUAUAGUAGUAUAACAAUGCCAAAUGAUAAUGUGUCGUUCAUCAUUUUCAUAUUCAUCAAGCCAUCAAUAUUGGUACUUAUUCUCACUGUGUUAUCUAUUGCUAACUUGCAGUAUCCGAAUGUAAUGUCCAAGCUCCAAGCUGAGGUAGACUCAACUUUUAUCCUUAAUGUGGUUUUCCUAUGGAGGUUCACACUUCUGAAUCGUACAAAUGCCAAUUGACUUUUCUUUGCUCAAUUAUCCACAGGCUGAUGCUGUUCUAGGAGAUGGUUUACCAACAAUUGAUGAUGUGAAGAAACUUAAGUAUACUACUCGAGUUAUUAAUGAAGUAAGUACCAAAAAGUGUUACCUUGACACAUAAUGAGUUUCGUCACUGAAUGAUAACAUUGCUGUUUUUGCAGUCUUUGAGAUUAUAUCCACAGCCGCCAGUUUUGAUUCGCCGUUCCCUUGAGGAUGAUAUGCUAGGGGAGUACCCAAUCGGCAAGUAAGUAUUUUACAGCAGAAUUCCAUCUGUCAAGUCACUAAAGAAAAGGCCAGCUUAGAGUCUAGUCAAGUUUAAGGGGUAAGGGCUGUUCAUUAGUUUGUCAGAAAACCACCUUGAUUACCAUGGGAGUUCGGCUCUUUUUGUCUUAUUUGGGCUUUUCCACAUCCUUUCCCUUAAAUACUUGUGCGAGUAAUAUAUUAGCAUAGGGUAUUGCAGCAUUUUCCCAAUCUUGUGCAGACUAUUUUACUCAACAUAUUCUGUUUUCUGCUUUGUCCUUAUGUUGCUGCUGGUAGCCAUGUUUGUUUAGUUGUUGCUGUUGGGUAUUUAUAUAUGUGAUACUGAUUUCCAUGGAAAGCUAAACUUUUCAUAGUUCUGAAAAUAUAUAUUGUUCUUUUCAAGGGGAGAAGACAUUUUUAUAUCCAUCUGGAACCUUCAUCGCUGCCCAAAGCAUUGGGAUGACGCGGAUGUUUUCAAUCCAGAAAGGUGGCCUUUGGACGGACCGAACCCAAAUGAGACAAACCAAAAAUUCAGGUUCCAUCCCUAUUACUGUAAUAUAAAACGCUUUUGGGUAAACCAUGUGUCACUCUGGUUAUCAAGUUCAUUAGUUGUUUCUACUUUCUGUUGCAAGAAUUAACCUUUGAAAGUUUGAAUAUGCUUAAUUGCUCAUUAUAGCUAUAUUUCUUCUUCUUGCCGAAGAUUUAUUUUUAGAGAAUGUGUCAGAAAAAAAACCUUUAGAUCAAAUGAGUGAAUGAUCAAAGUUGGUCAUCGAAUACACAAUCCUGUUGAUUUUAUUUUCUACUAUGAUGAACCUGCCACAUGUGAGUCUUAUUAAUUAAGAUAACCAACUACUUAUUCUGACAUAUGAAGCAGCUCCAUAACAGAUGUCCUCAGAUUGUUGCAGUCAAACUUUUCAGCCAGUGAUAGUUAUAAAAUUAUUUCUAUUUGCCAUUUGCAGUUGAUAUUAGUAGAUUCAUCAUCAAAAGUGCUUCCAAGUUAAUAUAUAUUUUAUUAACAUAUAGUUAGAAAAAUGUGUCAAAUGUAUGUAUAGGAGACCGUGUCGAUACCAAUACUAUAUUUACUUUUCUGUAGCAGUGGCACACUAGUACAUAGCCACAACCCUAUGAUUUGCACAAGGUAUUUGGACAGUAACAUGGAAUAUAGUUAGGUGGAUCUUAUUGAGGGUGAACAUGAUGCAGAGAUAAAUGAGAUGAAUAUUAAACUGCUACUCCAAUGAGCAACAGGAAAUCACACUUCUGAUCAAACAAAGCAGCAAUUAUUUUUCACCUUAAGAUUUUACCAAAAGCAAGGAGCCAUCACACUUACAUAUCCUCUGUUGAAUUUUUUAUGACUGUUGUUGCUUUAUGAGUGUCCCAGAAAAGAUUCUUCCAAUAAACAUAGGAUAUUAUAAAGAAAAAUGUAUUAGAAAUUGUAUCUUUUUAUAGAUUGGAUAUUGCCUUAACGGGAGAUAUAUUAAUGGGGUUAUAUAUAUACGGGAGAUAUAUUAAUGGGGUUAUAUAUAUUAUUUAGUGUUAUGGGUGAUAAUUUAUAAUGCUCAAUGGGUGCAUUUCUAAGAGUAUGGACUAUGUGGUAUCUUCAGCUGCAAUGAAUCUAACAAUUUGAAAUAUUAUGGUGGGUUGGUGCAAUGACAUAUUGGUUGAUAAAGAAGUGAUGAGUCACCAUUUAGUAGAUAAAAGUCGUCUUCUAAGCAUACCAUUGAAACUCGAAAUUAGUAAUAGAUAAAUAAAUAUGCAACAAAGUUAUGUUCUUGUGUUGUUUAGUUUUUGCUUCUCUGUAUUGCCAUGUUCUGUUACAUACAUCAGAACCAUUAUAACGUUGUGAUCCUAGUUGCCACUGUCGAACUCUUAAAGAUCCAUUGUGUGACUGUGGUUGCUUUCCUUCUUAAGAAUAGUGGUGGCAUCUGCUUGCUACACUGUUUAAUUAAUGCCUAGCAAACCUGCUUUAAGUUAUAACUCACUUGUAUUCAUAUAAUCUUGUUGAAUUUUCAGUUACUUGCCAUUUGGUGGCGGACCAAGGAAAUGUGUAGGUGAUAUGUUUGCUACUUUUGAGGUAAUCCAUUUUGAUUAUUUGGGGUUUCAGCUGAUAAUAUUGAAAUAGCAUUUUGCGAUUUCAUGAACUUUGCUGGUAAUUACUAAUUUGAUUUAGUCGUAUUAAGGCCUUCUUUCUUUCGGCUUCUUGGGAUAUUAGACUGUUUUUUUUUUGUGAAAACAAAGAUUUGUUGCUAUCCCAGCCUAUGCGCUACGAGGAUGCACUGCCUAGUCAUUUCUUCCUUGACUAUUGGGAGAAUCACUGACAUUCUGCAAUUUCUGUGCAGACUGUGGUGGCAACAGCAAUGCUUGUCAAGCGAUUUGAUUUUCAGAUGGCUCCAGGAGCACCUCCGGUAUGUUUCCCACCAGCUUUCUGAUUCAUCAUAGCUGAUAAAAUAUAUUUAUCAUAGCUCUAUUGUAGGUCGAGAUGACAACCGGAGCAACGAUUCACACAACUAAGGGACUGAACAUGACUGUUACUCGGAGGAUAAAGCCACCUGUAAUUCCAAACUUAGAGAUGAAAAUUGUUUCCGAUUCAGAAGGAAGCACAAGUUCUACUGCGUCAGUGGCUGUUUCUACUGCUAGUAUUACAUCCGGAGAAGGUCAACAAGUAGAGGUGUCGACAAGUCAAGUGUGAUUUAUCAUUUUUGAUGCUCAGAUUGCAAUGAGAUACAUAAUGAGUACGUUCUCAUCUCAGUUCAACUUGGAAAUUUAAAUAGUUAUAGUUUCUUCACAUUUGAAUUGGUUAUAUUCUCUGGUAUGGGCGUUCAUUGGCCUUUUCACCUCCUUUCUCUUGCAUUGUCCUGCUGUAGUUUUCGUAUAGCACACUUCAUUUACCUGAAGUGCUCAAAGAUGAUGUAUGUCCAAUAAAUAAAGGCACCGCUUUUUCUUCAAAAAAAUGAAGUGCUCAAAGGCAUAGUCCUCGUCUGUUGAGUGUCUAGGGCAAAGGAACUUUGUUUGCACUUCUCGUUGUUAAUCAUGAAGUCAUAUAUUUUAUUUAGUAAAUUACAUCGUGCUAUACAUCUUUGGUGAUAAAACUGUUGUACUGCUUCUGUAAACCGUAUGCUAUACCAUCAUUGUCUAUGAACACGCGUGGCUGCACCUAAUUAAAUUUCAUGAUCAAUUUAGGCAAGUCCUUUUUCAAAGCAUAUUGCCUCCAUUCUUCUGAUACAUUAUUAUGAUUUUUAGUCAAUCUUACUGUGGAAUGUGGAAGUCAUUGCUCAUGGAAACAUUUUUCAUGCGCAGAUACCAGAUACGGUACAUAACAGACCAGAAGCUUCCGGGCGUGCUUCUUUACAAGGAAAAGCUCUCCUAAAAGUUCCCAGGCUUAUUUUUGCGAUACAGGCUACAACACUUUUACAGACUAUAGAUCUGCCUGCUACUCAAAAGCACCGCGGACACACAUAUUUACAGAUCCACAAGUACCGGGCAUGGACUCCUGCAUCUCUAAAACUUCAGCAUGGCCUCCAACGCGCGAAGAACGUCGUCGCGG